UACGUAGGGUGCAAGCGUUAUCCGGAAUUAUUGGGCGUAAAGAGCUCGUAGGCGGUUUGUCGCGUCUGCUGUGAAAACCCGAGGCUCAACCUCGGGCCUGCAGUGGGUACGGGCAGACUAGAGUGCGGUAGGGGAGAUUGGAAUUCCUGGUGUAGCGGUGGAAUGCGCAGAUAUCAGGAGGAACACCGAUGGCGAAGGCAGGUCUCUGGGCCAUAACUGACGCUGAGAAGCGAAAGCAUGGGGAGCGAACAGG
rnacentral:rRNA from 1 species